rnacentral:lncRNA from 1 species
AGUUGUGAUUUUUGUUUCUCUCUGUUUAUCUAUUUCUUUGGUUUGAUUCUAUGCUUUGGAUUUGUUGUUUGCUUGCUUUAACUUGAUUUAUUGGUUUCUUGGUUUUUGGGAAGAGAGAUAACAGUUGUCCGAAGCCUAUUUGCUCCAUUUGUAGGCAAUCUGAUCCGUUUUGUUGUUUGGUUGUUUGUUUUGGGCUUUUGGUCAUGACUGUGUUAAUAAAAAAUUGCUUUUUUGGCAGCGUUACAAUUCUUUUCCAUUGCGAGAUUAUCUUUUAAUGUUUAUGGUUGUUUUAUUCUAAUUGAGAUAUUUGUUUGCUUGCUUGUUAUUAUAUGGACAUUGGUUAUUAGUUAUGAAUUUCGAUCUCUAGGUGAAAAUCUUGUGUUUAUGCUUGAUGUAAAUAAAAGGCUCUUGAAGACGUUCACAUAUGCAGGGUCUUUCUUUGUGCAUGAUUUUGUCAUACAUCUUGCGUAAUCUGUCUUAUGGACUGUAGGAUGGGAUGAUUUAUCUGCAAAGACCAAUGAAUUAUGAUUCCUGAUGCAUUCUGUAUAAGCUACAUCUAAUUCUAUGAUUUGAUAUGUGCUUGGCAUGAAUAUUUUCAAAAUACGAUCAAAUUGUUUGAUUUAAGUAGGACAUGAGUUGUAGUUUUGAGUUUCAACUUUUUUCUGUGGCUUACCCAUUGUACAUUAGAGAUAAAUGAAAUUCUCUAUAUCAAACUGUAUUUACCUUGUCAUCUUCGUGAUACUAUGCAAGUCUAAAGGAACCCUAGACAUAUAGGCUUGCUCAUGAGCUAUUAAACUUAAAGUAUAUAAGAGGUUGCAGUACCACCAUUUGACUUUUGAGGUUACAUCUCAACCCUCUCUC